CAGGCAAUGGUUCUAAGGAUAUAAACGCCAGCUAUGGAGGUUGUGAAAUAAACGUCAGCUAUGAAGGUUGUGAAAUAAACGUCAGCUAUGGAGGUUGUGAAAUAAACGUCAGCUAUGGAGUUAGUGAAAUGUUUUGUUUUAACAUGUCUGCUACUGUGUGUAUUGCUCAAGUGUACCUUGAGUGAAAAAGAGAAUUGUCGAGGUGUUGCGUCAAUUGUGGGAUAUGUUGAGAGAUGUCCUACGUCAAAAGCGGAAGUAAAACUAGCGUCAGAAAAGAAGAACUGCGAUUUGUAUGCUAAAACCAAUCCUGCACAUCUCCAGAGAAAUUCAAGUUCCAUUGUGUUGUCAACACUUUUCUCAAUGAAACAAUAUCAGUUUGUGCACCUCAAUUGGUUAUAAAAGGCUUCUGCGCUGAAUACAAUGUCAAAGGUGAAAGGAUACAAGGUUUAUAUGAUGCAAUAUGUACUAAUCAUUCACCACCGUGUCCGGAUGUGUACCGUUCAACAGAUGCAUACAAAUAUCACUACUGUUGUGAUCUCGUGUACAACAAUCGAAAAGUUAUUUCCACGUCUCUAAA